CCUACGGGUGGCAGCAGUGAGGAAUAUUGGUCAAUGGACGAGAGUCUGAACCAGCCAAGUAGCGUGAAGGAUGACUGCCCUAUGGGUUGUAAACUUCUUUUAUAUGGGAAUAAAACGUUCCACGUGUGGGACUUUGUAUGUACCAUAUGAAUAAGGAUCGGCUAACUCCGUGCCAGCAGCCGCGGUAAUACGGAGGAUCCGAGCGUUAUCCGGAUUUAGUGGGUUUAAAGGGAGCGUAGGUGGAUUGGUAAGUCAGUUGUGAAAGUUUGCGGCUCAACCGUAAAAUUGCAGUUGAAACUGGCAGUCUUGAGUACAGUAGAGGGGGGCGGAAUUCGUGGUGUAGCGGUGAAAUGCUUAGAUAUCACGAAGAACACCGGUGGCGAAGGCAGUUCACUGGACUUCAACUGACACUGAGGCGCGAAAGUGUGGGUAUCAAACAGGAUUAGAUACCCCUGUAGUC
rnacentral:rRNA from 1 species